rnacentral:rRNA from 1 species
GACGAACGCUGGCGGCGUGCCUAAUACAUGCAAGUAGAACGCUGAAGAGAGGAGCUUGCUCUUCUUGGAUGAGUUGCGAACGGGUGAGUAACGCGUAGGUAACCUGCCUGGUAGCGGGGGAUAACUAUUGGAAACGAUAGCUAAUACCGCAUAAAAUGGAUUAUCGCAUGAUAAUCAAUUGAAAGGUGCAAAUGCAUCACUACCAGAUGGACCUGCGUUGUAUUAGCUAGUUGGUGGGGUAACGGCUCACCAAGGCGACGAUACAUAGCCGACCUGAGAGGGUGAUCGGCCACACUGGGACUGAGACACGGCCCAGACUCCUACGGGAGGCAGCAGUAGGGAAUCUUCGGCAAUGGACGGAAGUCUGACCGAGCAACGCCGCGUGAGUGAAGAAGGUUUUCGGAUCGUAAAGCUCUGUUGUAAGAGAAGAACGAGUGUGAGAGUGGAAAGUUCACACUG